AGAGUUUGAUCCUGGCUCAGGACGAACGCUGGCGGCGUGCCUAACACAUGCAAGUCGAACGGAACUGUUUUGAAAGAUUUCUUCGGAAUGAAUUUGAUUUAGUUUAGUGGCGGACGGGUGAGUAACGCGUGAGUAACCUGCCUUCAAGAGGGGGAUAACAUUCUGAAAAGAAUGCUAAUACCGCAUGACAUAUCGGAAUCACAUGGUUUUGAUAUCAAAGAUUUUAUCGCUUGAAGAUGGACUCGCGUCCGAUUAGUUAGUUGGUGAGGUAACGGCUCACCAAGACCGCGAUCGGUAGCCGGACUGAGAGGUUGAACGGCCACAUUGGGACUGAGACACGGCCCAGACUCCUACGGGAGGCAGCAGUGGGGGAUAUUGCGCAAUGGGGGCAACCCUGACGCAGCAACGCCGCGUGAAGGAUGAAGGUUUUCGGAUUGUAAACUUCUUUUAUUAAGGACGAAAAAUGACGGUACUUAAUGAAUAAGCUCCGGCUAACUACGUGCCAGCAGCCGCGGUAAUACGUAGGGAGCAAGCGUUGUCCGGAUUUACUGGGUGUAAAGGGUGCGUAGGCGGCUUUGCAAGUCAGAUGUGAAAUCUAUGGGCUCAACCCAUAAACUGCAUUUGAAACUGUAGAGCUUGAGUGAAGUAGAGGCAGGCGGAAUUCCCCGUGUAGCGGUGAAAUGCGUAGAGAUGGGGAGGAACACCAGUGGCGAAGGCGGCCUGCUGGGCUUUAACUGACGCUGAGGCACGAAAGCGUGGGUAGCAAACAGGAUUAGAUACCCUGGUAGUCCACGCUGUAAACGAUGAUUACUAGGUGUGGGGGGUCUGACCCCUUCCGUGCCGGAGUUAACACAAUAAGUAAUCCACCUGGGGAGUACGGCCGCAAGGUUGAAACUCAA
rnacentral:rRNA from 1 species